rnacentral:rRNA from 1 species
UACGGAGGGGGCUAGCGUUGUUCGGAAUUACUGGGCGUAAAGCGCACGUAGGCGGACUGAUAAGUCAGGGGUGAAAUCCCGGGGCUCAACCCCGGAACUGCCUUUGAUACUGCCAGUCUGGAGGUCGAGAGAGGCGAGUGGAAUUCCGAGUGUAGAGGUGAAAUUCGUAGAUAUUCGGAGGAACACCAGUGGCGAAGGCGGCUCGCUGGCUCGAACCUGACGCUGAGGUGCGAAAGCGUGGGGAGCAAACAGG